rnacentral:rRNA from 1 species
AUUGAACGCUAGCGGGAUGCUUAACACAUGCAAGUCGAACGAGUCGCGGACGUGUGAGUAAUCUAUCGGACCGUCCCCAGUAGCGGGGGAUAACUACUCGAAAGAGUGUCUAAUACCGCAUACUCUUAGUGCCGCCGAUAUCGGAUUAGCUAGUUGGUGGGGUAAAGGCUCACCAAGGCCACGAUCCGUAGCUGGUUUGAGAGGACGACCAGCCACACUGGGACUGAGACACGGCCCAGACGCAUACGGGAGGCAGCAGUGGGGAAUUUUGGACAAUGGGGGAAACCCUGAUCCAGCCAUCCGGCGUGUGUGAGAAGGCCUUCGGGUUGUAAAGUACUUUUGGCAGGGAAGCGGUAUCUGCAGAAUAAGCACCGGCUAACUACGUGCCAGCCGCCGCGGUAAUAC